AAACUUUCAACAAUGGAUCUCUUGGUUCUCGCGUCGAUGAAGAACGUGGCAAAAUGCGAUAAGUAGUGUGAAUUGCAGAAUUCAGUGAAUCAUCGAAUUUUUGAACGCAUAUUGCGCUCUUCAGUAUUCUGGGGAGCAUGCCUGUUUGAGCGUCAUUU
rnacentral:rRNA from 1 species